GAUGAACGCUGGCGGCGUGCCUAAUACAUGCGAGUCGAGCGAACAGACGAGGAGCUUGCUCCUCUGACGUUAGCGGCGGACGGGUGAGUAACACGUGGAUAACCUACCUAUAAGACUGGGAUAACUUCGGGAAACCGGAGCUAAUACCGGAUAAUAUAUUGAACCGCAUGGUUCAAUAGUGAAAGACGGUUUUGCUGUCACUUAUAGAUGGAUCCGCGCCGCAUUAGCUAGUUGGUAAGGUAACGGCCUACCAAGGCAACGAUGCGUAGCCGACCUGAGAGGGUGAUCGGCCACACUGGAACUGAGACACGGUCCAGACUCCUACGGGAGGCAGCAGUAGGGAAUCUUCCGCAAUGGGCGAAAGCCUGACGGAGCAACGCCGCGUGAGUGAUGAAGGUCUUCGGAUCGUAAAACUCUGUUAUUAGGGAAGAACAAAUGUGUAAGUAACUAUGCACGUCUUGACGGUACCUAAUCAGAAAGCCACGGCUAACUACGUG
rnacentral:rRNA from 1 species